AAUCAACGCUGGCGGCGUGCCUAACACAUGCAAGUCGAACGCGAAAGUCCCGCAAGGGAUGAGUAGAGUGGCAAACGGGUGAGUAACGCGUGGGCGACCUACCUUCGAGUGGGGGAUAACCUUCCGAAAGGAGGGCUAAUACCGCAUGACAUCCCGUGUUUGGAGACACGGACAUCAAAGCCGGGGAUCGCAAGACCUGGCGCUUGGAGAGGGGCCCGCGUCCGAUUAGCUAGUUGGUGGGGAACGGCCCACCAAGGCUCCGAUCGGUAUCCGGCCUGAGAGGGCGGACGGACACACUGGGACUGAGACACGGCCCAGACUCCUACGGGAGGCAGCAGUGGGGAAUUGUUCGCAAUGGGCGCAAGCCUGACGACGCAACGCCGCGUGGAGGAUGGAAAGA
rnacentral:rRNA from 1 species